rnacentral:rRNA from 1 species
CAAGGGGCGAAAGCCUGACGCAGCCACGCCGCGUGCCGGAUGAAGGCCCUAUGGGUUGUAAACGGCUUUUAAGCAGGAAGAACGACCGGAUUUCGAUCUGGUGUGACGGUACUGCUAGAAUAAGGAUCGGCUAACUCCGUGCCAGCAGCCGCGGUAAUACGGAGGAUCCAAGCGUUAUCCGGAAUCAUUGGGUUUAAAGGGUCCGUAGGUGGAUAAUUAAGUCAGAGGUGAAAGUCUGCAGCUCAACUGUAGAAUUGCCUUUGAUACUGGUUAUCUUGAGUUAUUAUGAAGUAGUUAGAAUAUGUAGUGUAGCGGUGAAAUGCAUAGAUAUUACAUAGAAUACCAAUUGCGAAGGCAGAUUACUAAUAAUAUACUGACACUGAUGGACGAAAGCGUGGGGAGCGAACAGGAUUAGAUACCCCGGUAGUCCACGCCGUAAACGAUGGAUACUAGCUGUGGGGUUUUCGGACUCAGUGGCCAAGCGAAAGUGAUAAGUAACCCACCUGGGGAGUACGUUCGCAAGAAUGAAACUCAAAGGAAUUGACGGGGGCCCGCACAAGCGGUGGAGCAUGUGGUUUAAUUCGAUGAUACGCGAGGAACCUUACCAGGGCUUAAAUGCAGGCUGCAUGGGGUAGAGAUACCCCUUUCUUCGGACCGCCUGCAAGGUGCUGCAAGGUUGUCGUCAGC